GUGAGGAAUAUUGCGCAAUGGAGGCAACUCUGACGCAGCCAUGCCGCGUGCAGGAAGAAGGCGCUACGCGUUGUAAACUGCUUUUAACCGGGAAGAAACCCCAGGACGUGUCCUGGGUUGACGGUACCGGAGGAAUAAGCACCGGCUAACUUCGUGCCAGCAGCCGCGGUAAUACGAAGGGUGCAAGCGUUAUCCGGAUUCAUUGGGUUUAAAGGGUGCGUAGGCGGAGCGUUAAGUCAGUGGUGAAAUCCUGCAGCUUAACUGUAGACUUGCCAUUGAUACUGGCGCUCUUGAGUGCGCUUGAAGUGGGCGGAAUGUGCCGUGUAGCGGUGAAAUGCUUAGAUAUGGCACAGAACACCAAUUGCGAAGGCAGCUCACUAAGGCGAUACUGACGCUGAGGCACGAAAGCGUGGGUAUCGAACAGGAUUAGAAACCCGUGUAGUCC
rnacentral:rRNA from 1 species